CCCGUCCCCAGAGGCACUGCAGGUGUGGCUGCUUUAUCACAUCUGCAUCAGUAGGUUGUAGAGAGGGAGAGGUCAUCUGGGUUCAGUGUUCUGAUCUGAAUGAUCCGUAGCCUAACACU
rnacentral:snoRNA from 1 species